AUUGAACGCUGGCGGAAUGCUUUACACAUGCAAGUCGAACGGCAGCACGGGGCAACCUGGUGGCGAGUGGCGAACGGGUGAGUAAUACAUCGGAACGUGCCCAAUCGUGGGGGAUAACGUAGCGAAAGUUACGCUAAUACCGCAUACGAUCUACGGAUGAAAGCGGGGGAUCGCAAGACCUCGCGCGAAUGGAGCGGCCGAUGUCAGAUUAGGUAGUUGGUGGGGUAAAGGCUCACCAAGCCAACGAUCUGUAGCUGGUCUGAGAGGACGACCAGCCACACUGGAACUGAGACACGGUCCAGACUCCUACGGGAGGCAGCAGCGGGGAAUUUUGGACAAUGGGCGCAAGCCUGAUCCAGCCAUUCCGCGUGCAGGAUGAAGGCCUUCGGGUUGUAAACUGCUUUGUACGGUAACGAAACGGCGAGCUCUAAUACAGUUUGCUAAUGACGGUACCGUAAGAAUAAGCACCGGCUAACUACGUGCCAGCAGCCGCGGUAU
rnacentral:rRNA from 1 species